rnacentral:rRNA from 1 species
AGUGAACGCUGGCGGUAGGCCUAACACAUGCAAGUCGAACGGCAGCACAGUAAGAGCUUGCUCUUACGGGUGGCGAGUGGCGGACGGUUGCGGAAUACAUCGGAAUCUACUUUUUCGUGGGGGAUAACGUAGGGACACUUACGCUAAUACCGCAUACGACCUACGGGUGAAAGCAGCGGAUCUUCGGACCUUGCGCGAUUGAAUGAGCCGAUGUCGGAUUAGCUAGUUGGGGGGGUAAAGGCCCACCAAGGCGACGAUCCGUAGCUGGUCUGAGAGGAUGAUCAGCCACACUGGAACUGAGACACGGUCCAGACUCCUACGGGAGGCAGCAGUGGGGAAUAUUGGACAAGGGGCGAAAGCCUGAUCCAGCCAUGCCGCGUGGGUGAAGAAGGCUUUCGGAUUGUAAAGCACUUUUAGUGGGGAGGAAGGGCAGUAAGUUAAUACCUUGCUGUUUUGACGUUACCAAAAGAAUAAGCACCGGCUAACUUCGUG